CAGUAGCCGCGGUAAUACGUAGGGUGCGAGCGUUAAUCGGAAUUACUGGGCGUAAAGCGUGCGCAGGCGGUUUUGUAAGACAGGCGUGAAAUCCCCGGGCUCAACCUGGGAAUGGCGUUUGUGACUGCAAAGCUAGAGUGCGGCAGAGGGGGAUGGAAUUCCGCGUGUAGCAGUGAAAUGCGUAGAUAUGCGGAGGAACACCGAUGGCGAAGGCAAUCCCCUGGGCCUGCACUGACGCUCAUGCACGAAAGCGUGGGGAGCAAACAGGAUUAGAUACCCCGGUAGUCCCUGUCUCUUAUAC
rnacentral:rRNA from 1 species